UCUUAACUCAGUAUUAGUUUAUAUUUAAGUAAAAAUUCAUUUAGGUAUACGUUAAAUGUUUCCAAUGAUUAGUAUGGCAGUUAAUCCACUAAACCCAGACAUAAUUCCUGAGGCAUGUUUAUACAGAGUUUUGUAUUUCAUCAAGAAAGUGCUGAUUCACAAAGAUUUUAUAUUUAAGAAAAUCUGAGCAUCAUUCAAAAUAACUGUUAACAUGUUUUUCAACUAAACAUGCUUUGUCAACGUAAUAAACUUUAUAAAAACAUUUAUUUUUAUUUUUUUAUUAAUUAUCAAGUAUAAAGAACAAUGCAUAGUGUGAAAACGCGGAUUAUAAAUAAAGUAUAUUAAGUGCGAGCAGAGGAUCAAGCAGAAACAACGCCAAAGGACUACAUUUCCCAGGAUGCACCUCCACCCUUCAGGUGCGACCGCUUUACCUAUGGGCUUGACGGGAAGAUUCAAAAUCGCGAACCGUUACUGCAUGGAUUACUCUCGGUCUCUUUGUUUGCUCAUCGACAUUACGAGGUCAUGUACACUGUGGUCAACUUUGUGGACGAUGAAGAGGUUUCUGGGUAAAGAUUAUAGAAAUAUAACGAAGUAACAGUGGAAGCUAAAACAUCAGACUGAUCUAGACACUGAAGAAAUUGAUGUCACUGCAAUCUGGCCAAAAUGAUACAACAAUAUUGAACUAGCCUACUGUAAUGAAGCUGCAGAACAACACAGAGACUCUGAGGACAUCAACACAGAAAAUGAAAGAUGUCUGUCCAGAUGAGGGUGCAUCAACUUUACCUUUGCUGACAACAGUUAACUUAACUCAAACCAUUUAAGGAAAUCGGUUGCCUUAAACCAUUAAGUUUUAAAAAACAUACAUUUGAGUACUGUGAACUUAAGUCUUGUGCAAUUAUGCACUUAUAUUUAGGUAGUGUGAACUUAAAUAUAAGUGCAUAACUGCAUGUGACUCAAUUUUUUUAAGUUCACAGUACUCAAAUCUAUGUGUUUUAAAACUUGAAUGGUUUAAUGCAACCGGUUUUCUUAAAUGUGAGAAAUGACAGUGUUACAGUGAGAAAUGUUUGAUUAAUUCCAAGACAGAGCUCUGCUAUUGAAUCUACACUGCAAAAAAUCACUUUCUAACUUAGGAUUUUUAUCUUGUUUUCAGUAGAAAAACUAAAAAUUCUUAAAUCAAGAUGUAUUUUCUUGAUGAGCAAAAUUACCUUAGAAAAUAUGUGUAGUUUUUAGACAAAAAUAUACAAUUUAAGUAAAUUUGUGCCUAAACAAGCAAAAAUAUCUUAACA